rnacentral:rRNA from 1 species
GACGAACGCUGGCGGCGUGCUUAACACAUGCAAGUCGAACGAAGUGGCGAACGGGUGAGUAAUACGUGGGUAAACUGCCCUCCUUUUUGGGAUAAGCCUUGGAAACGGGGUCUAAUACCGAAUAAAGGGGGUUGGGCUCGCGGCCUAUCAGCUUGUUGGUGGGGUGAUGGGCUACCAAGGCGGUGACGGGUAGCCGGCCUGAGAGGCUGACCGGCCACAGUGGGACGGCGAUAUGGCCCAGACGCGUACGGGGGGCAGCAGUGGGGGAUAUUGCCGAAUGGGUGAAAGCCCGAUGCCGCGUCGCUGCGUGAGGGUUGAGGGCUUUCAGGUUGUAAUCCUCUUUCGCUAUCGAGCCGGUAUGUAGCGAAGAAGCGCCGGCUAACUACGUGCCAGCAGCCGCGGUAAUUC